GGUCGGAUAGCUCAGUUGUAGGAGCAUCUGGAAUAUAACCAGAAGGUCCUGGGUUCAAUCCCCCAGUCUGGUCA
rnacentral:tRNA from 1 species